UCCUGGCUCAGAUUGAACGCUGGCGGCAGGCCUAACACAUGCAAGUCGAGCGGAUGAAGGGAGCUUGCUCCUGGAUUCAGCGGCGGACGGGUGAGUAAUGCCUAGGAAUCUGCCUGGUAGUGGGGGAUAACGUCCGGAAACGGGCGCUAAUACCGCAUACGUCCUGAGGGAGAAAGUGGGGGAUCUUCGGACCUCACGCUAUCAGAUGAGCCUAGGUCGGAUUAGCUAGUUGGUGGGGUAAAGGCCUACCAAGGCGACGAUCCGUAACUGGUCUGAGAGGAUGAUCAGUCACACUGGAACUGAGACACGGUCCAGACUCCUACGGGAGGCAGCAGUGGGGAAUAUUGGACAAUGGGCGAAAGCCUGAUCCAGCCAUGCCGCGUGUGUGAAGAAGGUCUUCGGAUUGUAAAGCACUUUAAGUUGGGAGGAAGGGCAGUAAGUUAAUACCUUGCUGUUUUGACGUUACCAACAGAAUAAGCACCGGCUAACUUCGUGCCAGCAGCCGCGGUAAUACGAAGGGUGCAAGCGUUAAUCGGAAUUACUGGGCGUAAAGCGCGCGUAGGUGGUUCAGCAAGUUGGAUGUGAAAUCCCCGGGCUCAACCUGGGAACUGCAUCCAAAACUACUGAGCUAGAGUACGGUAGAGGGUGGUGGAAUUUCCU
rnacentral:rRNA from 1 species